CAUUCUCCUUGUUAUUUCCGACAUUCUCGUCUCCAAACACCACAACUGUUUCUCUCCGACCAUCACAUACAAAAGGAAUUUUGGUUUUGGAUUCAACCUAUCUUCACAACCACUAUUGAGAUUUGAUUACUGCACAGGCCACUCUACUCUAGGAACGUCGGGCCUAAGUGGCACCCCACCAACUCGGUGGCUACCCGGAAGAUCGUUGCGGCAAAGAUGGCUGGUAACCAGAACUACCCUGACGGUGGCUACGGCCAUGUGAAUAGUAGAGUGAAUUUUAAUUGCAGCUCUGAAUAUUCUUAUGGUAGUACGAGGAGAAGAUGCAGCAGUAAGCCGGGCAGAGCUUACGGAAGCAUUAGCGCUAUGAAAGUUAGUAUUCUAUUACGUUUUGAUGUGUAUAUCACGGGGUACCUGGGUGUUUAGUUUGGUUGCCUUAAUCCCACGUCAUUUUUGUACAUUUCGCUGCUAUCAUCGGGAUCUUUUAAAUGAUCUUUGUAUAGUUUGUAACUGAAACUUGCCGGUUUGGUAUAUAAUGGGUACGAUCUUGGGUGUUCCAAUAGUGCUUUGAAUUCCUUUUGUUGUCAAAUAUCGAUGUACUGCAGGCAUACUCAUAUACUCAUUUAUGUAUAUUGUUUGAAUUUUAAAAACCUGUGUGGUAACA